rnacentral:rRNA from 1 species
UACGUAGGGUGCGAGCGUUAAUCGGAAUGACUGGGCGUAAAGCGUGCGCAGGCGGUUUUAUAAGACAGGUGUGAAAUCCCCGAGCUUAACUUGGGAAUUGCAUUUGUGACUGUAAGGUUAGAGUGUGUCAGAGGGGGGUGGAAUUCCACGUGUAGCAGUGAAAUGCGUAGAGAUGUGGAGGAACACCAAUGGCGAAGGCAGCCCCCUGGGAUAACACUGACGCUCAUGCACGAAAGCGUGGGGAGCAAACAGG